rnacentral:rRNA from 1 species
AACGCUGGCGGCGUGCCUAAUACAUGCAAGUCGAGCGCAGGAAACUGACGGAACUCUUCGGAGGGAAGGCAGCGGAAUGAGCGGCGGACGGGUGAGUAACACGUAAGGAACCUGCCUCAAGGAUUGGGAUAACUCCGAGAAAUCGGAGCUAAUACCGGAUAGUUCAUCGGACCGCAUGGUCCGUUGAUGAAAGGCGCUUCGGCGUCACCUUGAGAUGGCCUUGCGGUGCAUUAGCUAGUUGGUGGGGUAACGGCCCACCAAGGCGACGAUGCAUAGCCGACCUGAGAGGGUGAUCGGCCACACUGGGACUGAGACACGGCCCAGACUCCUACGGGAGGCAGCAGUAGGGAAUCUUCCACAAUGGACGAAAGUCUGAUGGAGCAACGCCGCGUGAGUGAUGAAGGUUUUCGGAUCGUAAAACUCUGUUGUAAGGGAAGAACACGUACGAGAGGAAAUGCUCGUACCUUGACGGUACCUUACGAGAAAGCCACGGCUAACUACGUGCCAGCAGCCGCGGUAAUACGUAGGUGGCAAGCGUUGUCCGGAAUUAUUGGGCGUAAAGCGCGCGCAGGCGGCCUUUUAAGUCUGAUGUGAAAGCCCCCGGCUCAACCGGGGAGGGCCAUUGGAAACUGGAAGGCUUGAGUACAGAAGAGAAGAGUGGAAUUCCACGUGUAGCGGUGAAAUGCGUAGAGAUGUGGAGGAACACCAGUGGCGAAGGCGACUCUUUGGUCUGUAACUGACGCUGAGGCGCGAAAGCGUGGGGAGCAAACAGGAUUAGAUACCCUGGUAGUCCACGCCGUAAACGAUGAGUGCUAGGUGUUGGGGGGUUUCCGCCCCUCAGUGCUGAAGCUAACGCAUUAAGCACUCCGCCUGGGGAGUACGGCCGCAAGGCUGAAACUCAAAGGAAUUGACG